GACGAACGCUGGCGGCGUGCCUAAUACAUGCAAGUCGAACGCUUCUUUCCUCCCGAGUGCUUGCACUCAAUUGGAAAGAGGAGUGGCGGACGGGUGAGUAACACGUGGGUAACCUACCCAUCAGAGUGGGAUGACACUUGGAAACAGGUGCUAAUACCGCAUAACAGUUUAUGCCGCAUGGCAUAAGAGUGAAAGGCGCUUUCGGGUGUCGCUGAUGGAUGGACCCGCGGUGCAUUAGCUAGUUGGUGAGGUAACGGCUCACCAAGGCCACGAUGCAUAGCCGACCUGAGAGGGUGAUCGGCCACACUGGGACUGAGACACGGCCCAGACUCCUACAGGAGGCAGCAGUAGGGAAUCUUCGGCAAUGGACGAAAGUCUGACCGAGCAACGCCGCGUGAGUGAAGAAGGUUUUCGGAUCGUAAAACUCUGUUGUUAGAGAAGAACAAGGACGUUAGUAACUGAACGUCCCCUGACGGUAUCUAACCAGAAAGCCACGGCUAACUACGUG
rnacentral:rRNA from 1 species